CCAGACAAGGGAGACAAACGGGACUUGCGGGGGUAGGGGAAGGUUCAAUAAAAUGAGACCCAAGCCGUGGAGUUCCCUUCACAUCUACGCCAUGGGCAGAGGAGAAGCACGAUCAGUUGCAGUGGUCCUGGUGGUGGUGUGGUUCUCGUCGUUGCCCUCGGCAAACGCUGCUAUUUGUGAUAGCAACUAUGGGCCAUCUGGGUCGCUGGACUGCUUUCUAGGUGUUCCAUACUACGAUGGCUACCAGUGGGGGACCUGCCUCAGCAACCAAUACAUCAGGACAAAGUCUAAAGGCACCGAGAAGUGCCGAGACCCUGACGCCAUCUUUUGCUACUACCAGUGCAUGGCUGAACUCUACAAGCUAUACACUGGCAAUGUGACGUCAGACUGCGCGUGCAACCCCAACGUCACCAUCUCUCCCCCGUCAGGGUCGACUCUUCCUCAGGACUGUUACAGCUCCACCGGUACUGACUGUAACUGGUUCAAAAAUUGCCUGGAGAAGAAGUACCAGUGCUCUGGAGUACGAGACCAGAAUGCCAUCACUUUUGCGAGAACUUUUGUAAACUAUACGAGGACAAGUCCGAUCUUUUCUCUACACUGGCAGACAAUGGGUUGAUGCAGUGCGUAAAUGUCUGCAGGUGGAGCUGACACCGCUGAUGCGGGCCUACACUACCUACACUUGUGAUGAUGUCAAGAAACGGGCCUUACGGUCCCACUUUGCUUGCUAUGAAAAGCCUUACACAGGGCCCAAAGCAUCUGCAGCCAGGCUCCUAUGGACUUCUGGUACAUGUUCUGGAUCAUAAGGAGCUCCUUUAUAACCAGCUACUCCGAGUCCUUGGUGGGGCUGCUGAAGAUCUCUAAGACGUGUGUCCCACGAGCCAAUCAGAUGCAGUCAGGUAUGCGAAAGGUAGCCAUCAAGAUACGAGUCAAGUCCAAGAGUCUACGUCAGCGACGUGCAGCUGACCCCGACCUCCUUAAUGCGGUUGACUACAAGCCGAGGUUCUGGAGAGAGAUCAGCAAUGAGGCGAUGAAUGAGGUCGAACCUCGCUACAAACGUGAGGCUUCCGACGAUGUCUGGGAAGGCGAGACCGACGAUGAAGAGGCCGUUAACCAGUUGACGUCCGAGCUGGCCGACCUGCUGGCUCAACAGCUGGGCUGGAAGUGAGCGGCGUUCAGUGGUUUGCCUACGGCAUUCAACUGAACAGUGAACAGAUCCAAGCUUUCGUUUUUCUCGCGGACAAGCAGGGUUAUGGUAUAAGCGACCCUGUCUCGUACAACUUGUCGGAAGUGGUACAGCGUGCGGCACAAGCGUUCCAGAACGGUGACAUCGUCGUCACAUCCCUGGGUGGGGAAUCGGUGGAGCUGCAAACUAUGAGCGGCUGCAGCGACAUCGACUGCGAGAGCGUCUACCUUGAAACCACUGCUCCGUCGUCUGCUCCACCUCAGUCGACGAUAGCCGGAGUGACGGGCCUUGUCCUCGCAGCUCUCGUUAGACUUUUAAAGUAAGACACAUAAGUCCUCGCUAAGGUGCUUCAGUGAGACACCACACCUUGAGCACUUUAUUAUGUGUAAUUGCUUAUCAUGUUAUUUUAACACGAGGUUAGACAUAUAUUUUUUACGUCUCUAUUAUUAAUCUCAGCUGCAUGCAACUCGUCUCCAGCUAAGCGGCUUCUAUAUUUACUGAUCACGUAGACACUUAAAAACUAUUUCAUGACACCUCUGUUAAGAGUGUUUAAAGUUUUUUUCUUCAAUGCUUUGUAUGGUUCCUACAGUAAUUCCAGGUUUUC
rnacentral:lncRNA from 1 species